rnacentral:lncRNA from 1 species
GAGAGUUUUGUGGGGGAAAAUUGUUAGAAAGAAUUAAAAAAUAGAAAAAAAGGAUUCGCAGAAAGAGAGAAGUAAACAAAGAAAAAGGAGAGGAAGGAGAGAGAACCCACCACCCUUUGGCCCUGGAGAGACCAAAGAUGGUCGAAGAGAAAAAACUCUGAGAUCAUCACAGACUCUUCUUUCUAUCUUGUUGCGGGGAAGUUCAGUCAUAUAGAAGGUCUAAUCACGAACAGUUCCAAUCCCAGCCUGCCUAGGCAUCGAAGAAAACAUAUCCAUAUCCCAUGUUAUCGCACUCGAAACCAUGCUAGCUCAUGUUGUUGGUAUAUCACCUUCAACCGCAGGAUCAAAGCCUACUAACUCUGU